GGUUGUUCUGACGGUACCCAAAGAAUAAGCACCGGCUAACUUCGUGCCAGCAGCCGCGGUAAUACGAAGGGUGCAAGCGUUACUCGGAAUUACUGGGCGUAAAGCGUGCGUAGGUGGUUGUUUAAGUCUGUUGUGAAAGCCCUGGGCUCAACCUGGGAAUUGCAGUGGAUACUGGGCGACUAGAGUGUGGUAGAGGGUAGUGGAAUUCCUGGUGUAGCAGUGAAAUGCGUAGAGAUCAGGAGGAACAUCCAUGGCGAAGGCAGCUACCUGGACCAACACUGACAUUGAGGCACGAAAGCGUGGGGAGCAAACAGGAUUAGAUACCCUGGUAGUCCACGCCCUAAACGAUGCGAACUGGAUGUUGGGUGCAAUUUGG
rnacentral:rRNA from 1 species